rnacentral:lncRNA from 1 species
AAGGAACUGCAUGAAUGAUAAAGCCGUGGGAAAGUUAAGUGAUAAAGAAAAAGUGAAAGUUACGGGGUAUGAGAAUAAUAAGGUUGAUGGGCCUGUAAUAUGUUCAUAGGGGUAUAUUGAUUAGACACUUAAAAGUUUGGAAGAUAAAUCCCAGAGAUAGGCCACUGACAGUGAUAACUAGAGUGAAGAGGACUACACUGAAUGAACAUGUACUGCAAGCCAGUGAUUUUUUUUCAUAAUUAUUUCUUUUAAUAAGAAGGUUACUGUAAUCAUUGCAAAGCAAUUAUGAUCGAAUGAUACAAAUAACAGAGAUUUUUUUUACCUCAUGGAAAUGUGUGUGUGUGUGUGUGUGUGUGUACAUAUGAAACAUAGACUUGGGAAAGUAAUGCCUAUGACAUUUGUCCUUUUAAUUGGGAGAUAAAGGGAACAUAUGUCAUUUUUUCUAAAGAGGUCAUUCUUAUUUUCUGAUUGUGUGCUCUGGCGGCAGAUGUCCCCAGAAAAAGUGUCCAUAAGCUUUGUGCCAAGGCCAAGGGCAUCCUUCUGUAAAUGCUGACAAAUAAGUUAGUAAAUUACCACAUCCAGAAUUAAAGCUGAUGAUAACUUCAAAUUAUAAAGUAAUUGAUGAUGCCAAGCAGUUUAUCAAUACUCAGAUCUCUGGGAAAGGCAUCUUCCCACUGCCCCUUAGCUGUUAUGGCAGUGUACCAAAAUCAAAUCAGAGAGUUUUAGGAAAGAUAGGAUAUAAUAGAACUCUUUAUACAUUUUGAUAAUAAAUUCUAGAAUUUCUUAAAGACUGAAAAUCACUUAUAUAUAGACAGUUUCUCUACUUAAAACUCAUAAAGUUAUCAAAAUAAACAUUUAAGUGCUCUAUGUCUUUCGUCUGUUUGAAGAAGUUUUCAAAUGUACUCUCUUCUUAGAAGACUCUGGUUGGGGAAUUGGGGAACACAUUUUUAUUCAAGAAAUUUUCUCCCAUGACACACAUUUAUGAACUACAGAAAGCUGAACCAUGAUAUUCUAAGCACCUCAGUUAGCAUUCAAUUUUGAAAUUACAUUUUUAAAGAGUCAAAAAAUACCCUUUCAUUCUAUUGAUGUGAAGCAAAUCCCUCUGCUUCAAUUAAGAGCAAUUGAAGGGAAGAGUGAUAACAGAAGUCCAGCUCCAAGCGGCAUAUAAUGAGAUGAUUACAGCCUCUGGCAGCCAGCCAGACUGCCAGGCUCUUUUUCAUGGGUGUUACUUUACUGACAGUACCUUCAUGACAUUUGUACCUUGACACCAGAAGUGCUAACAGCUGUAGUGCCAGUGCCAGAAAGGCAAGGAAGACCUUUUUCAGCUUUAGUUGCUCUCACAGAUUCUCAGCACACUGAAAGAGUAAAGUCUAUAAAAACUGACUUCAGCCUGCUGUCUCAUUUGUGAAGAUUUUUGCUGUGGUGUCUGAAAAAACAGUUUUGUUCCAUGACAUUGGACUUAGUGGAGAUAAGUUUCAAGAUAAAAGACAUGUGUGGUAAAUAUAUGACCAAUGGCAGUAACACUGUUUGUCUGCUUGUUCAUGGUUUUGUGAAAUGGGAUAUUUCAACAACCGAUUCUGUGCUUGGUUACUUGCUGCAGGGAGCCCUUUUGACCCCUCACUGAGGAAGCCAAAGAAGGACUAAGGGAGAAAAAUUCUAGUUUUCUUGAAGUUGGAUGGUAUUCUUAACUAAUAGUGACAGAUGUAACAGUAUGAGUUCUAGUGGCUGCUACUAAUGGCAGAGCUUCAGGGUGUCAGGAAAUGAGGAAGGUCAGAAGAUAAGUGCACAUAUGUGAGAAAGGAGUUCAAAUGAUAAAAGGUGAGACAUGGAUUUAGAAAAGUUUAUUUCUGGAACUGGGCCAGUCUCUCUUGUUUUCAGAGUUAUUCUUGGCGCAUCAGUGUGUCUCUAACAUUUGGACAUGCUCUUGAGAACCAAGGUCCCAAAAGGCACAUAUUACUAUUUAAUAUUAGGAAGCCACUGUGCACUGAUAGCUCUUUUUUUUGAUAUAUUAAGCUUCUUUCUUAUCAUUUUAGUGUUGGUACUGUUUUGGUCUUAGAAAUGGAAAAAAUUCUUUGGCUAAACAUAAUUUUCUAUAGUCGGAAGUACAUUUAGGAGACACUGUAACAAGUAACUCACUGUAAGAAAGUUUCCUAUAUGCAUUUUAAUCACUAAUACUUUAUAGCAUAUGAGAAGUUUUGUAAAAAGUGUGUGUUUUUUAUUUUAUGAUAAUGACUGUUUUUGCAUUUUUAUGAAAACUCCAUUUUUGAAAAAUUGAGUAUUAAACUUUGUUGAUAUUUUAAAUAUUUCAUAUACACAAUAGAAAGAUCUUUAAACAGCAUGAAAAUCUGCAAUUAUUGAAGAGAUAUUUGAGAGAUAAGUAAUCGAUGAAUAGCUUCAAGUAAAUAAAACUAAAGGAAAUAAGAAAGGGAGAUAAAAGUCUAUAAUUAAACACAAUUCAGUCACUGUGCCCAUUAAAUUCUCUUUUCAUGAUGUGCAAUCUGAUGUCCAGAGGAGUUCAGAGAACUAUAUGAUUCUAUGAAGGUAAUGAGUGACUAGAAUUCAGUAUGACAGCUCCCAGUCCCAGGGUUCUUUCCAAUGCAAUAUCCCUAGACAUGCAGAGAAAGCAAAAACAUUACGGUAUUUUUCUUGUGGCCUUUAUGGUUCAUGUCCUAAUGGGAACUUCAACUCAUGUUGAGGAAAUAUAAAUAAAUUAAAUCUGAUGGCAUUACAUCAUAGUAAUUUCAAAAACUUUAAAAAAUUAGAUGUUAUUGUUGUUAUUUUGUAAUUAACUCUCAACUGAGCAAUCAGAGUGGAGCCUUGGAAAAAAGAACCAUGCAUCGUCCAAAAUGUCCACAGGGAAGUCUGCACAUUUUUUCCAUUUCAUUGCUAAUGAGUCAUUUUCACCUGAUGCCUCCUCCUUACACGCCUCACCUAAAGAACCAGCUGUCAGUUUCCACAGCUGAGCAGGUUUGGUACCAGACAGGUGGCAGCAGGGUGGGGGAGAAAUCAUGUCAGUGGGAUGUUGUUAAUCUGGAAUUAGGAUGAUCCACCUGGUCUCAUUAAAAAUUGCCUGUAUUUCCUAAAUGGUUCACUACAAUAUAAUCAACACCUAAAUUUAAAGUUAGGGUUUUAAAUAUCCUUGAAGAGAUAUAUAAGAAUAUUUGGCUUUAAUUGAAUAUUUGGGUAGUUUUCUACUGUGUUAUAAGAGAUAUAUAAGAAUAUUUGGCUUUAAUUGAAUACUUGGGUAGUUUUCUACUGUGUUAUAUGAAUGAAGUCUAUUUAGAAAUGAUAGAAUUUUAUAUCACAUUUAUAGAAAAAGUGGAUUGAAGUGUACUAUUCUGGGUUCUUAUAUUUAUUCACUCUUUAACCUUCUGUGUGCUAUAGGGUCUCUGAAAAAUGUUGUGAUAUCACUAAAACCAUGUUGAAGCUUAAACGGAUUAAUAUAUUUGGAAGUGUUUUGUGACAUGGUGUAUAUAUAAGUAUAUAGACUAGAAUCAUCACUGGUAGGUGUUCGGUAGACUAUUUUAAAUUUUUAUAACUACCUGGAAAACAAUUCUAAGUAACGAUGUAGCAAACAAGAUCCUAACCACAUGACCGAACUCAUUUCCCUGACCACAACUAUGGCACUCCAUGUUCUGUUUUCUUCAACUUGGAAAUCACCUCUUUCUGAAAGCCUUUCUUGAAUGCUGAGUAAUGGCUGGGUGCCCUUCCUGUGAUUGCAUAAUGCCAAGCUGACAUUUAUUAUAGAACUUAUCACACAAUACUGAAAUAAUCUAUUUUUCAGUCUUGCUAUUUCACUAGAUCUGCUUCAGAGCAGGUCUUUAUCUUGUUCACAUUUGAAAUUCCAAUAACUAGCACAGGGACUAACACAUAAGUAGACAAUAAUUUAUAUAUAUAAGUAUAGAUAGAUGGAUAUAUAGAAAAAAUGGAGGCUAAUUGGUUGUAGGUAUAUAAAGUACAGAAGCAUAUAAGUAAGAAAAAAGCACUCAUAUCCAGCCAUUUAUCUGAUUUUCAGUUUGAACUAACAUCUGGCUAUGACAUGAAGACUAUUCUAAAGUGAACAUGCAGUGGAACACAGGGAGGACAAUUCAAAAGCAAAUGCAGAAAAUAGGUCCAUGUAAAUAAGACUGGUAAUGUAAAUAGAGAAGAUGAAGAUCUGAAACAUACAUAGGGAACAAAUAAACAUGAUUUGGCAAAUAAUUUUUGCCCCAACCAUUUAACUCAUGGUUGAGAAAAAAUGAAAUACCAUAGAUAGCCUUAAGAUUUGUGGCUUUUACAAGCUGGGAAGAUGGUGGAAUCGUUCACUGUCAUGGAGAACACCAAAUGAUGCUAUGGUUAUUGCUUAGGUUGUUGGCAAGGUUAUGAAGGCAAGCAGAUAUAGUUUCAAGUUCCAAUUUCAUACAAGUUCAUUUUGGCAUGGCUUUGAGAAAUCCAAGGAGAAAAAAGCUUAUAAAUUUGGCAGUUGUUUGUGUGUAUAGUGAAGUCUGGAUUACCUAGGAGGAGAUUAUAGAGUAGCAAUUAAAGAAGGUCAGGAUUGAACUUUGAAGACUCCCACACUUAAGAGCCUGGUAGAGGAAUAUAAUCCUGAUAAGGCUUAAGAAAGCAAAAUAGAAUAUUGAGAAUGAAGGUAGAUAUCAACAGAAAAAGGAAUGAACGUGAGGUGUGAGAAUGAAGACAGUAAAUAUAGUUACCUGUUUUGAAGAAUGCAGUUGUGUUGUGUAGAAAUGAAAUUGGGAAAAGUUAAUGGAGGAUUUGGGUCUGCAGAGACAUUUGGUCAAACAUUAUUCUGGGUGUGUCUCUGAAUGAGAUUGACAUUUGAAUCCAUUGGCUAAGUAAAGCAGCUUGCACUCCCUAAUGUAGGUGGUCCCCAUCAAGUGAAUUAAAGGUCUGAAUAGAUCAGAGUGAUUUUCAUAUGUAUAGGAGGAAAUUCCUCUGCCCAACUGCCUUAAAGUUAGAACAU